rnacentral:rRNA from 2 species
GCGCAAGCCUGAUGGAGCAACACCGCGUGAGUGAAGAAGGGUUUCGGCUCGUAAAGCUCUGUUGUUAACGAAGAACACGUAUGAGAUUAACUGUUCAUACGUUGACGGUAUUUAACCAGAAAGUCACGGCUAACUACGUGCCAGCAGCCGCGGUAAUGCGUAGGUGGCAAGCGUUAUCCGGAUUUAUUGGGCGUAAAGAGAGUGCAGGCGGUUUUCUAAGUCUGAUGUGAAAGCCUUCGGCUUAACCGGAGAAGUGCAUCGGAAACUGGAUAACUUGAGUGCAGAAGAGGGUAGUGGAACUCCAUGUGUAGCGGUGGAAUGCGUAGAUAUAUGGAAGAACACCAGUGGCGAAGGCGGCUACCUGGUCUGCAACUGACGCUGAGACUCGAAAGCAUGGGUAGCGAACAGGAUUAGAUACCCUGGUAGUCCAUGCCGUAAACGAUGAGUGCUAGGUGUUGGAGGGUUUCCGCCCUUCAGUGCCGGAGCUAACGCAUUAAGCACUCCGCCUGGGGAGUACGACCGCAAGGUUGAAACUCAAAGGAAUUGACGGGGGCCCGCACAAGCGGUGGAGCAUGUGGUUUAAUUCGAAGCUACGCGAAGAACCU